rnacentral:misc_RNA from 1 species
GAUGAAGAACGUAGCGAAAUGCGAUAAGUAAUGUGAAUUGCAGAAUUCAGUGAAUCAUCGAAUCUUUGAACGCACAUUGCGCCCCCUGGUAUUCCGGGGGGCAUGCCUGUUCGAGCGUCAUUUCACCACUCAAGCCUCGCUUGGUAUUGGGCAACGCGGUCCGCCGCGUGCCUCAAAUCGACCGGCUGGGUCUUCUGUCCCCUAAGCGUUGUGGAAACUAUUCGCUAAAGGGUGUUCGGGAGGCUACGCCGUAAAACAACCCCAUUUCUAAGGUUGACCUCGGAUCAGGUAGGGAUACCCGCUGAACUUAAGCAUAUCAAUAGGCGGAGGA